CGGAUAUGUGCCCCACUCGCGAAACUCAGUGAAGCAUUUUCAAUUUGGCGCUUAUUUGAUCCUAGCUGGUCAUUGUUCCAAGUAUGGCCGCGAUGUAAACAACACUGUGCUGGUUUUUAUUUAGUUUUAGUGAGAAAAAGUGAUUAAAAGGAAAUGGGAAAGGUUAAAGCUGUUGAUCCAAGAAAA